rnacentral:rRNA from 1 species
CAUAGGUUAAUGAGGCGAACCGGGGGAACUGAAACAUCUAAGUACCCCGAGGAAAAGAAAUCAACCGAGAUUCCCCCAGUAGCGGCGAGCGAACGGGGAGGAGCCCAGAGCCUGAAUCAGUGUGUGUGUUAGUGGAAGCGUCUGGAAAGGCGCGCGAUACAGGGUGACAGCCCCGUACACAAAAAUGCACAUAUUGUGAGCUCGAUGAGUAGGGCGGGACACGUGGUAUCCUGUCUGAAUAUGGGGGGACCAUCCUCCAAGGCUAAAUACUCCUGACUGACCGAUAGUGAACCAGUACCGUGAGGGAAAGGCGAAAAGAACCCCGGCGAGGGGAGUGAAAAAGAACCUGAAACCGUGUACGUACAAGCAGUGGGAGCCUCUUAAUGGGGUGACUGCGUACCUUUUGUAUAAUGGGUCAGCGACUUAUAUUCUGUAGCAAGGUUAACCGAAUAGGGGAGCCGAAGGGAAACCGAGUCUUAACUGGGCGUUAAGUUGCAGGGUAUAGACCCGAAACCCGGUGAUCUAGCCAUGGGCAGGUUGAAGGUUGGGUAACACUAACUGGAGGACCGAACCGACUAAUGUUGAAAAAUUAGCGGAUGACUUGUGGCUGGGGGUGAAAGGCCAAUCAAACCGGGAGAUAGCUGGUUCUCCCCGAAAGCUAUUUAGGUAGCGCCUCGUGAAUUCAUCUCCGGGGGUAGAGCACUGUUUCGGCAAGGGGGUCAUCCCGACUUACCAACCCGAUGCAAACUGCG